rnacentral:rRNA from 1 species
CUCCAGACUCCUACGGGAGGCAGCAGUGGGGAAUAUUGCACAAUGGGGGGAACCCUGAUGCAGCGACGCCGCGUGGGUGAAGGAGUAUUUCGGUAUGUAAAGCCCUAUCAGCAGGGAAGAACAAUGACGGUACCUGACUAAGAAGCACCGGCUAAAUACGUGCCAGCAGCCGCGGUAAUACGUAUGGUGCAAGCGUUAUCCGGAUUUACUGGGUGUAAAGGGGGCGCAGACGGCGAUGCAAGCCAGGAGUGAAAGCCCGGGGCCCAACCCCGGGACUGCUCUUGGAACUGCGUGGCUAGAGUGCAGGAGGGGCAGGCGGAAUUCCUGGUGUAGCGGUGAAAUGCGUAGAUAUUAGGAGGAACACCAGUGGCGAAGGCGGCCUGCUGGACGAUGACUGACGUUGAGGCUCGAAAGCGUGGGGAGCAAACAGGAUUAGAUACCCCCGUAU